UCUCUCUCACACACACACAAGCACUCAUACAUACAACAAAGACAUAUGCCAAUUUAUUUAUGUAUGUAUGUAUACAUUACAACACAUCUCUUCACUCUCACUCUCUCUCUCUCAUACACACACACACGUCCAUUUCAUCUGAUGCCUGAUACUGCAUGUAUAUGUAUCUGUGUGCGUGCGUACGGUGUUUCACAAUCGCCAGAAAAAAGCAGAUGAAUUUUCUUUCUUGAUGCUCCUGGUGGCACAGCUAAAACAUUUGUAACAUUGCUUCUCUUCAAGAUAAGGUAACAAAAGGGAAUUGCAGUUGUUGUACCAUUAUCUGGUUUUGCUGCCCAGGAGGACAAACAGCUCGUUCUGUCUUUAAAUUACCACUAAACCUGGUCACAAAUGACAGCCCAGUUUGUAACAUAAACAAAGAUUCAGGUUCACUCGAAGUGUUGUGCCAAUGUCACCUUAUCAUUUGGGAUGAAUGCACCAUAUCGCAUAGAGGUGCAAUGGAAGCUCUGAGUAAGACCCUACAGGACAUCAGAGGCAACAAUAAAUCUAUGGGAGGAGUUACAUUAGUUUUAUCAGGAGACUUCAGACAGAUAUUACCAGUCAUUUCAAAACAAACAAGAUCUGAUGAAAUAAAAGCAAGCAGUAAGUCUUCACACCUAUAGAAUAAAGUACUGAAAUUCUCCUUCAAUACUAAUGUGCGACCUUUAUUACAUGGGGACCAAUGUGCAAAACAGUUUUCAACCUGGCUCCUCCAUUUAGGAAAUAGGAAAGUACCAAUUGAUGGAAUGGUGAUAUCAGUUUGGCUCAUAUUGCUAUCAUGGUGAAUUCUUCAGCUGAAUUGAAGAACAGGAGGCCAUAGACCAACCUAUACCAUUUUGGAAUCAGGCCACCUCCGUGAGUAAAUUAGAAACAUUCCAGGCUGAAUUUGGACCCACAAUCCUGAAAUUUAGGAUUCCUAAGUUUUCAUUACUGAAAUUGUUUUUGGCGAUUUUUUUUACGUGAUUUUCUGCAAUGAAUUUUUUUGUACGAUAACAAUUUUUACUAGCUGAACCCAUGAAAACUUCAUGGGAAACAUUAAAAAAUGUAAGCAUUUACACAUAGUGACUUCCUUUAAUAACUAUUGAAUAAAUAUUGGCAUCACCACAGACGUAGGCCCCACCGACUUUGUUGCCUCAGAAAAUUCCAGUAAAAUGGACACUUUUUUACAAAAGUUAUGACAAAUAAUCGCACGGAUACUGUUGAUUGAGUGUAUUUAAAGAUUUUUUGGAAAAAAGUUUUGCGAGGGGUUGGGGAGAGGAGUUUUGGAAAAUUCACACGACCUGACAUUUUCCCCCUUAAUAACUUUCAGGAAAAUGGGCAUUUUUAAUGAAUUUUUAUACAAAUACCUUUCAAAUGGCACAGUAACAAUUACUAAAAUCAGUGGAAGGGGGUUUACAUUUGCAGUUAUGCCUAAUUAUGUAUAAGCAGGACCCUGGGAAAUUCUACGAAAUACAAAAAAAUGCAAGCAUCUUUAAAAGUAACAUCUAAUUACAGUGUGGAAAAGUAAAAUAUCCAAUAUUGGCUGAGGACCCAGUAUAUACAAUACGGUAGUUAAUUAUAUUGCAGGAAAGUAAAAGUAACAUCUGAUAUUUGAUGUGGUUAUGUAUCUUUCUACACUGAAAAUACUAAUAAACAUUUAAAGAAUUAAAAUGAA